rnacentral:rRNA from 1 species
CCAGCAGCCGCGGUAAUUCCAGCUCCAGUAGCGUAUAUUAAAGUUGUUGCAGUUAAAAAGCUCGUAGUUGGAUUUCUGACUUCAGGCGCCUGGCCCGCCGUUUAUAGCGUGUGAGUGCCGGAGCGCCUGUAUCAUCCUUUCAGAGAAUGCGUCUGCUCUUUAACGGAGUUGGACGUAGGAUCUGGAUCUUUUACUUUGAAGAAAUUGGAGUGUUUAAAGCAGGCUUACGCCAGAACAUAUUAGCAUGGAAUAAUAAUUUAGGACUUUUGUCCUAUUUUGUUGGUUUCUAGGACGAAAGUAAUGAUUGAUAGGGAUAGUUGGGGGUGCUAGUAUUCGGCGGCCAGAGGUGAAAUUCUUGGAUUCGCUGAAGACUAACUUAUGCGAAAGCAUUCACCAAGGAUGUCUUCUUUAAUCAAGAACGAAAGU